rnacentral:tRNA from 1 species
GCGUGGGUAGUUCAGUGGUAGAAUUCUCACCUUCCAUGUGGGAGACCCGGGUUCCCUUCCUGGCCAGUGCA